rnacentral:rRNA from 1 species
GGAUGAUCAGCCACACUGGAACUGACACACGGUCCAGACUCCUACGGGAGGCAGCAGUGAGGAAUUUUGCGCAAUGGGGGCAACCCUGACGCAGCAACGCCGCGUGAGUGAUGAAGGCUUUUGGGUCGUAAAGCUCUGUCAGCAGGGAAGAACGGGUUUUGUAUUAAUAGUAUAAGACUUUGACGGUACCUGCAAAGGAAGCACCGGCUAACUCCGUGCCAGCAGCCGCGGUAACACGGGGGGUGCAAGCGUUAUUCGGAAUUAUUGGGCGUAAAGCGCACGCAGGCGGUGUGGUCAGUCAGAUGUGAAAGCCCGGGGCUCAACCCCGGAAGUGCAUUUGAAACAGCCACACUUGAGUACUGGAGAGGAAAGGGGAACUCCUGGUGUUGAGGUGAAAUUCGUAGAUAUCAGGAGGAACACCGGUGGCGAAGGCGCCUUUCUGGACAGAUACUGACGCCGAGGUGCGAAGGUGUGGGUAGCGAACAGGAUUAGAUACCCUGGUAGUCCACACAGUAAACGUUGUUCACUAGGUGUAGCGGGUAUUAACUCCUGCUGUGCCGCAGCUAACGCAUUAAGUGAACCGCCUGGGGAGUACGGUCGCAAGACUAAAAACUCAAAGGAAUUGACGGGGGCCCGCACAAGCGGUGGAGCAUGUGGUUUAAUUCGAUGCAACGCGCAGAACCUUACCUAGGCUUGACAUCUUGAGAAUCUCCUAGAGACAGGAGAGUGCCCUUCGGGGAAUUCAAAGACAGGUGCUGCAUGGCUGUCGUCAGCUCGUGUCGUGAGAUGUUCGGUUAAGUCCGGCAACGAGCGCAACCCUUGUCUUCAGUUGCCAGCACGUCAUGGUGGGAACUCUGAAGAUACUGCCCCGGUUAACGGGGAGGAAGGUGGGGAUGACGUCAAGUCCUCAUGGCCCUUAUGCCUAGGGCUACACACGUGCUACAAUGGCAGGUACAAAGAGCAGCGAGCUAGUGAUAGUUAGCGAAUCUCGUAAAGCCUGCCUCAGUUCGGAUUGGAGUCUGCAACUCGACUCCAUGAAGUUGGAAUCGCUAGUAAUCGCGGAUCAGCAUGCCGCGGUGAAUACGUUCCCGGGCCUUGUACACACCGCCCGUCACACCAUGAGAGUUGAUUGUACCGGAAGUCGUUGGGCUAACCCUUCGGGGAGGCAGACGCCCAUGGUAUGGUUGAUAAUUAGGGUGAAGUCGUAACAAGGUA